AAGAGAGGAAGUGAGCCUCCUCUCGCCGGCUUGAAAGCUUCCUUGAGAAGAUGUGAAGUUGCUUCUAGAAGGCAGUGGAAAAUUAACGUGGUUCUAAGUGAGCAAGAGUGUCUUCAAAAAAAAGGCUCAGAGGUGUGAGAUGGGUUAUGUAGGUUCACAAAGGCUGGUGUUGAUUAAAACACAAUUGUAGACAGGUGACUGUACAGCUGUUGAUCUUUGAGGACCACACGAGAUCGCUGUUCUCUAAAGUUAACCUCCGAGGAAACUCUCUCAAUAAAUCCACACUAAGUGAUUCACCUGUGUUGUCUUGCCUGCCAUCUUAGAGGAUGCCGUCUUUCUUCAGCCACUCACUCAGUGUGAAG
rnacentral:lncRNA from 1 species